CCACAAAACCUCCAUAAAGAGACGUGAAACUGCCACUGCUCUUCUUUCUCAUCUUGCAGGUGAUGGACGGUUGAAAUGACAUAUCAUCAAGAUGAGCUAAACAUUGGAGACGAACCAGCACAGGAGCCUGAAGGAAAAGUAAUGAGAGCAGCCAGGAGCUGAAAGUGUGGGCAGAGGAAAAGGAUGCUGAGGACGAGUUGGAAGACGGUUCCCUGAACUGAAUCCUGAUUUCCUGUAAUCGAGAUUUGUGGACUGACAGUUUGUAUGGUUGGUGUUCGGCCCAGGACAGGAGAGACACCUGGUCCAACCAGGUGAUGGACGAGCGGCCAAGAUGAACAAGUUGAGCCAAACCCUGGAGACGAACCACAACAGGAGCCUGAAGCAGCAGGAAAACUGAGGAUCUCAGUAUCUGUCUUCUGAUGACGACUCCUUCAGGUCGUGCAGUUGUUUGUUGACCACAGUUUCACCUGCUCAGACACUGAGCACUGUUGUCUUUACUGGCUAUUUAUGUAAUAAAUUGAAUUACACUCUGUUGUGGUUUUAAUUCUGCUCAUCCCUGAUUUUUAAAGAACGUGUUGAGUCUUUUGAUGGAGUCCAGUGCCUCCUCUCAGUGGCAUUGUCAAUGCAAUGGAGACCAGGGCUUCCAUUACCUUCACUUUCUAUUCCUAUUUUGGGAAUGAUUGAUUUAGAAACAGGGCCCAUGUGUUGUUUAAUAAUGUCUGAGAAUGUUAGCUUCUCCAUCGCUUAUCACAUGAAUGAAGCUAGCAGCAGCUCAAUGAGAGGUUUAUAACAUUUUACCAGCAGCUGAUAUGAAAUAUACCUGAAGUGCUGCCUGUAGUAUCAGGAAGCAGACAGAUAAAGAGUCAUUUUGAGCAGCUGAAGUAGUUCCUAUCAUCAUUAUGCAGCCUCAUUGCAGUCUGCACAGAAUGGUUUCUGUGUUCGUCUCAGUUCUGAUUUAAUGUGUUUUUUAAGUCACUGCACUGACUCCCUGUGCGUCAAAAGACAGACUUUAAAAUUCUAUUACUGGUCUAUAUAGAACUAAAUGUUUUCAGGACUGAACAUAUUUGGUUUACUUGUACAGGGAUGUGUUCUGAUAGUUACGUAUUUAAAAAAAGUAGUCAGUAGUCACGUUAAAACUGUCAGGUCAUCCAAACCAGGGAAUAAAACAUAACUCCUCAUUGUGGUAAAGUAAAUUCAUUUAAUGUAUUUUUUUAAUCUGUAGCUUAUUAUAUUAGCUUUUUUUUCCACUGUGUCUUUCAGAUGCUGUUUUAAUAUCUUGAUGUUUUUGUUUUGAUUAUUUUCUCUGUCUCUGAAUGGAUUGAAUACUAUAUAAAUAAACUUGGCCAAAGUAAGGUUUUAUUUGAGAUA